GACGGGUGAGUAACACGUGGGCAACCUGCCUUGUAGACUGGGAUAACUCCGGGAAACCGGAGCUAAUACCGGAUGACCAACGGAAUCGCAUGAUUCUGUUGUAAAAGUGGGGAUUUAUCCUCACACUACGAGAUGGGCCCGCGGCGCAUUAGCUAGUUGGUAAGGUAAUGGCUUACCAAGGCAACGAUGCGUAGCCGACCUGAGAGGGUGAUCGGCCACACUGGAACUGAGACACGGUCCAGACUCCUACGGGAGGCAGCAGUAGGGAAUCAUCCGCAAUGGGCGAAAGCCUGACGGUGCAACGCCGCGUGAACGAUGAAGGUUUUCGGAUCGUAAAGUUCUGUUAUGAGGGAAGAACAAGUGCCGUUCGAAUAGGGCGGCACCUUGACGGUACCUCACGAGAAAGCCCCGGCUAACUACGUGCCAGCAGCCGCGGUAAUACGUAGGGGGCAAGCGUUGUCCGGAAUUAUUGGGCGUAAAGCGCGCGCAGGCGGUCUCUUAAGUCUGAUGUGAAAGCCCACGGCUCAACCGUGGAGGGUCAUUGGAAACUGGGGGACUUGAGUGUAGGAGAGGAAAGUGGAAUUCCACGUGUAGCGGUGAAAUGCGUAGAUAUGUGGAGGAACACCAGUGGCGAAGGCGACUUUCUGGCCUAUAACUGACGCUGAGGCGCGAAAGCGUGGGGAGCAAACAGGAUUAGAUACCCUGGUAGUCCACGCCGUAAACGAUGAGUGCUAGGUGUUAGGGGUUUCGAUGCCCUUAGUGCCGAAGUUAACACAUUAAGCACUCCGCCUGGGGAGUACGACCGCAAGGUUGAAACUCAAAGGAAUUGACGGGGCCCGCACAAGCAGUGGAGCAUGUGGUUUAAUUCGAAGCAACGCGAGAACCUUACCAGGUCUUGACAUC
rnacentral:rRNA from 2 species